GGGUGUACAUGUCUAUAUUUAUAUAUUGAGAUAUUGGAGGAAAUUAAAAUGUAGAAGUAAUAGUGGCGCAAGUUGAGAAAAUUAAAAUAUAGAAGUAAUAAUGGCGCACAUGCACGAUCCACAUGCCAUUCUCCCCAGACUGCUUGUCUUAUAGAAAAAUCUUUUUUUUAUGCCUAUGACUUCCAUAGUUCUAAAAAUAUAUUAGUUAGAGUUGUUAAUGUGUGAAGCUGAAUAUAAUAGAAUAGUGAUUUUGCUUGGUUUGAUUUGUCGAGCUGGUCUCUAAUGAGUUAAAAAAAUAAAUUAGGAUUAAUCACUCAAAUAGUCCUCAAAUUUAUACCCGAUUUAUAUUUUGGUAUUUAGACUAAAUUAUUCGUUCAAAUGAUCCAUCAACUCUAUAUUAUUCGGUCCAUUGGUUCCACUGUCUAAUAUUUUGUUAAAUUUAACCAUAUUUUAGUGUAAAUACGACGACUUUUCAUAAUUAACAAAUAAAAAUAGGGUUAAAAUAAAUGCAAAAUUAAAAAAAAAUUGAAGAAAAAGAGAAAAAAAUCAUGAGACCCAAAUCUAAUGCCUCCUCCCUUCGAUUUCUUCUCCCCCAUUCCCCCUCUCCUCUCUUCUCUCCACCUCUUUCUCUCUCAUCCCCUCUCUCUCAAUUACCAAAACAUCAAUUAAAAAGCAUUGAAGAAAAAAACCUAACCAGACCCCUCCUACCCCAUACCCAACCAGCUACCACCCUUUCCACCCCCACCACCAUACCAACCAUGAAGACCCACCCAAUUUGGGUCAAACCUUGAUGCUGCGACUCAGGCAUUACUCUGUGGAAGAUUUUUUUUCUUCUCGUUUUCUGUAGUUGCUGGCUUGGGUGGAGGGUUGGGGAGGAGUUGAGGUUCUGGUUCAUGGGGCCUGGGGUGGAGGGUGGUUGUGGGAUGAGCUUGAGGGUGGUAGGCAUGGGGGAAUGGAGAGAGAGAGAGAGAGAGAGAGUUUUUAUUUCAUUUUUCAGUAUUUAUUUUUUUUUAACAUAAAAAAUAACCAAUUUGCCUUCAUAUUUAACAGCAAUAUUGACAGAAUGUAAUGGUAUGACAAAUGGACUGAAUAAUAUAGAGUUGAUAGACCAUUUGAACGAAUAAUUUAAUUGAGGGACCAAAAUAUAAAUUCGGUAUAAGUUUGAGCACCAUUUGAGUAAUUAAUCCAAAUAAAUUAAGUUGAGUUCGAAUAAGCUAUAUCGAUGCAAUUUAAGCUUCACAAAGUUUAAUGGGAAAUAAUGAAAAAAAAUUAAAAUUAAAAAUAGUAAUGAAAAAUUAAAAACAAAGGCAUUCUAAAAUAAAAACACAAAAUAAGAGCAAUACAUGGCCUAUAUAAAUUUUUUAACUCAAAUGGUCCACGAACUUAUACACAUUUUGCAUUGUUGUGCUUUAACUCAAAUAUUCUUCGUUCAAAUAGUCCACAUACUCUUUAUUAUUGGAUGAAUUAGUCCCACUGUUACACUAUGUCAGUGUUGCAGUGACAUAUAGGGAUAAAACAAUCCAGUUAAAUAAAUAAAUUAUAUAUUAAAUUUGACUUAUCCCCUCCAAAUUGAAUUUUAUUUACCUGCAACCCAUCACUUUUUGUUCUUGUCCAUAAAAUUUAAUUUUUAUAAGCAAAAACCCAAGACUAGGAUCCAACUCAUCAACUUAACUUCUUUUUUUUUUCCCUAAGAUAGAGAAUUCAUUCAUAGAACCAAGGACGUAUAAAGAACGACAUGAUACAGUAGCCUCACUAAAACCUUUCUAGGACAACCUCAUGGAACAAACCCCAGGGGAGGAAAAAGUACCACACAUGUUAUGGACUAACAAAAGAAUCCGAUUCAGGUCACUUUGGACCAUUACAAUAAAAGAACAAAUCAAAACGAAAACUAACACAACUAGAGACCAACACAAUAGACCCUUAUGAGAGGACCGCAGAAACCCCAAAUAGUAAACUCAUAAGAGAGGACCGCAAAACAUCCCAAUCGCUAAAAGAAGCCUUCUAUGAGUAAAAUUAUAGUCAUUUGACACCCACACAAACUGCAAGACAUAGCAUAGCAGAAACCAUGAGGAACACAUAAACAACAGUAAAAGGACCCCUGAAAAGCACUCCACUUCAAUUAAGACCCUGACAAAGAAAACCUCCAAUGACCAAGCAUAGUUCUUCGGUUAGUGCAGAGUAGAGAAGAGCACCACAUCCCAACAACUACCAUUAGCUUCGAUGUUACCGUUGCUGUUGAAACAGAGACAAAACAUUAGCCACCAGGUACAACUCUCCCAAGGAGAGACACAAUCCAGCGUUACUACUGUCACCGCAGCCGAGGCAAGUCCACAUGGAAGAAUCCUCAAUUGACAAUGUGGCUAGGGAACAAGCCGUCCAACUGGGACUAAGCUCACCAACACAUACAUCAUAAUCCUCAAUACUCGUACGCCUGUGACAAAUCAUACGCGCGCAAACUAACCCCGCUAAAAGUCUAU
rnacentral:lncRNA from 1 species